UACGUAGGGUGCGAGCGUUGUCCGGAAUUAUUGGGCGUAAAGGGCUCGUAGGCGGUUUUGUCGCGUCGGGAGUGAAAACCUCGGGCUUAACUCGGGGCUUGCUUUCGAUACGGGCAGACUAGAGGUAUGUAGGGGAGACUGGAAUUCCUGGUGUAGCGGUGAAAUGCGCAGAUAUCAGGAGGAACACCGAUGGCGAAGGCAGGUCUCUGGGCAUUAACUGACGCUGAGGAGCGAAAGCAUGGGGAGCGAACAGG
rnacentral:rRNA from 1 species